GAUGAAGAACGCAGCGAAAUGCGAUAAGUAAUGUGAAUUGCAGAAUUCAGUGAAUCAUCGAAUCUUUGAACGCACAUUGCGCCCCCUGGUAUUCCGGGGGGCAUGCCUGUUCGAGCGUCAUUUCACCACUCAAGCCUCGCUUGGUAUAGGGCAACGCGGUCCGCCGCGUGCCUCAAAUCGACCGGCUGGGUCUUCUGUCCCCUAAGCGUUGUGGAAACUAUUCGCUAAAGGGUGUUCGGGAGGCUACGCCGUAAAACAACCCCAUUUCUAAGGUUGACCUCGGAUCAGGUAGGGAUACCCGCUGAACUUAAGCAUAUCAAUAAGCGGAGGA
rnacentral:misc_RNA from 1 species